CGUGAGUAUUUUGUUCCCCCAUCUAAGAACGACGGAAACAUCCACACUUUGGUAUUCCUUCUUCUUGAAUUUCAGACUUUAAACAGAUCUUGCCUAUUCCUUACAAGAAUUAUGGAAAGCAGAUGUUACUAUUGCCAUUUCUGAGCAAGGGCUUGUCCAGGGUCAAUUAGCUAGUGGGAUCAGGCCAGCCUUCAAAAAAGCUGUAGCCACUGUCCCUGCCCUGGCUUAUCACUUAUACUGUUGCUCAUUUCUGUGUGACCAGCUUCCAGGCUCAUCACUAAAGCUCCAUUUAUCUUCUGGGCAAAUGUAUUGAUAUGGCUCCCAGAGUAUCAACCUUAUGAUUAUAUGCAAUUGUCUAGCAAAUAGCAGGAAUCACCUUUCAUUUUCUAUAUUUAGGAGGUUAGAACACUUUAUAAUAAAUAUGAUGACCUCUAGGUCACACAUUUCCUGUAAAGUAAUGACCGACCCUUCUCCAGCCUGCUAUUAAUUAUGAUCCAAGAGCACUCAGCCAUAGUUUUUAAAAUUACUAAAAAAUAAUAAAUAACACAGCAAAUGAUGCUUUGGUUAUUAUGUAACUCUGUGGUGGGUGUUAAAAAGCCAAUAUUGGGAGCCUACAAGUACUUCCCGUCACCCCACUCUCAGAGAAGAUAAACACAUUUUCCGGUAGGCCACAUUUACCAGAUUUCAUCAUUAAUUUUUUCAAACAUUGAUAAAAUAAAAGGUCUUAAUUCUGUGAAUUUUUUUCUUAAGGUUUAUUCCACCUAAAAAUUGAAGACACUCAAAUCAGUCACCAGGGUUCCCAGAGUAAAAGAAGCUCUCUGGUCUUCCCCAUGAAAUGAUGGUGAAGUCAUCCUCUGCCAGCUCCCCAGAGACGAAACAGAGGUCCUGGCUCUUGAGACCCAAAAGAAUCGUUUGCCCUGUCUUCCAACAGUUUGCUCUAUGAAUUCAAGCACACCCAGGACAUGCCAGCACGUGGGGUGGGGAGAGGGAGGAGGAAACCAGAGGAGUGUGAGGGAGGAUGGGAGAUGAAAGCUGAAAGCUGGCUUCUCAGAAAGAUAAAUGGUUCUGUUGUCAAUGUGAAGUUAUGAACACGACAGCAGCCUGGGCUGUGUCCAUUUUCCUCAUUGCGCCCAGACCGAAACACUACUUUAAAUAAAACAUAUUUCUUUUAUUUCCCA